GACAGAGGGUGCAAACGUUGCUCGGAAUCACUGGGCGUAAAGCGCGCGUAGGCGGCCCGGUAAGUCCGCUGUGAAAGUCAAAGGCUCAACCUUUGAAUGUCAGCGGAUACUGCCGGGCUAGAGUCCGGAAGAGGCGAGUGGAACUCCUGGUGUAGCGGUGGAAUGCGCAGAUAUCAGGAAGAACACCAACGGCGAAGGCAGCUCGCUGGGACGGAACUGACGCUGAGGCGCGAAAGCGUGGGGAGCGAACAGG
rnacentral:rRNA from 1 species